rnacentral:tmRNA from 1 species
GGGGCCGACCAGGUUUCGACGUGGGUACGGAUCCGAAGCAGGGCAUGCCGAGCACCAGUUCGCUCGUAAAUCCACUGGAAACGAAGUAACUGCGAACGACGAACGUUUCGCCCUUGCCGCUUAACACCGGUGAGCCUCGCAACAGUUGGCCCAUGGGCUGGGCCUGAGGUCGCAAGACCAAGGGCUGCGAGGUCAUUCACAUGGGCUGCGCCCCGAGCCGGGUCACUCGGCAUGAGGCAAGAUCAAGUGACUGGCGCUAGGGGCAGCGUGCUGCUGCGCGGCCUUCGGCGCGAGAUUCAAAUCAGCCAGCUACGCAUGUAGAACUGCCCGGUGAUGGCUUGCGGACGCGGGUUCGAUUCCCGCCGGCUCCACCA